UGAUAAACCAUAAUAUUACAAAAUUAUAGGAACUGGAACGAGUCAAAAAGGAGUUAAAAUGUAUUUUCUAGGAAUUAAAGAAGUUUCUGGGAUUAAUUUUGCACUAUUAAUCAUUUUCUAAAUGAAUUUCCAUAGUUUAUUCCCUGUCUGGACUGCGCACCAAAAACUAGAAAGUGCAGGGGCUAAUCUAUAAAUCUUCAGCAGACCCAGACCUACCCCGCGGUGGACGGCGGGUUAGUUUCUGUUUUACUCAGGGUCUCUUUAACAAAAAUCCCUGGCCGAAGGGGUAUGUUUCGACCAGAGCCGCACGAUCCUACAUCUACGGCUAGGAUCCGAUCUUCGCUAUUAUAAACCAGUCCGGUUCAUAGCCAUCGGAUGCCAAAUCAACGGACCGGAUCGCCAAUCGACCCAGGCACACGACACCCGCCCGAUCACCAUCAGACGGCCACGAGGGACCCCGCGAAGCGGUACGCGAAGAUCAAUCGGGACCGCCCGAACUGCAUCCAACGGCGCACGAUCUUUCCCCCAACGGAGCACACCCGCACGGCGGCGCCGCCCCGCACGCUCGGCGGAGCACGCCGGCGAGGCUGUCAAUCGGCCGUUCCCGAGCGCCAAACCCAAAUUGGACCGAGCUAAACGUAGAGGAGGACGAGGCGAGUCGAUUGGAUGGGUUUCUUACCGACGGAAUGAGGCACAGGAGCGUGGCCACGGCGAUGGGCGGAAGUACGAUGGUGGCGGGAUCACGGUGAGGAAUUACCCGCGCUCCCCAAGGUCCGCCCUCCAAUUGAGGUCGCGGACGGCCACCCUAGACGAUGGCGACCCAGCCUAGGCCAACCCAGAGGACAGAGUCCCAGCUACGACGAGCUUCACUUGUGGCGGAACAAGAAGAACCCACGGCGGCGCGAUGGUGCUUGUGGAACAGCGGCAAGAGCACGAUAGGCAGGUACCUACGGCACGGUCGAGUCUUUAUUUCCCCACCCCCCGCGCUGGUGAACCUCGGACCCGGAAUCCGCGCGGUGGUUGGAACGGCGCCCGAGAAGCACGCGGAGCUCGCGGCGAGUUCGUUCGGUCGCGAGGGAGAAGAAAGUGCUGACGCGCGGGCCAGAGUUGGCAGCGACACACAAACGAGCGCGCACGCGCGUGAAGAUGACCGGUGGGCCCAUGAUGUCGGCGCCAAAAUCAGCUGGGCCGGCGCGGUAUAAUUUCCUGGUGGGCCGAAUAGGGUGAUGUAGGCCCGGUUAGGUUCUUUUCCAUUUUCUGAUUUUCCUUUUCUCUACCCCUUAUUUAGAUUUGUAAAUUUUUCAAAUUCAACCAUGAAUUGGGUUUCUAAAUUCAAAUUAAAUGCAUAAUUCAAGAUCUAGUAUGAUAUGCAAUAUAUUUUAUUUUUAUUUAUUUAUUAUUUAAGCCAUUGCCUUUUAAAUGUGUAAAUCCCACCUAUUUAAUAUAAGGAACAUAGUUUUAUAUUGUAUAAUCUCUAUAAAGAAAUUUCUCUUACACAUAUCCUUAUGGACACUUAUAUAAGUGAUAAUUUAUUUCAUAUAAGAACUAUUUUGUUAAUCCUUUUAUUAGAAAACUUUUAUUUUUGGAGAUGUGACUUUAAAAGUUAUGGGAACUAGAAAAAAAAUUCCAAUUCAAGAUCUUCGGAAAAAAAAAAUUUACUAUAAUUUUUAGAAUGAGAUUUUGAGGUGUUACAAAUCCUACCCCCCUUAAAAAUAAUCUCGUCCUCGAGAUUUGUAAGAAAAAGGUAUAACUAUGUUAUCUCAACACAUAUGGACAAACAAAAUCUCAGCAUGAUGCAUACUUUAGUAGCAAGACAUGGGGUCGAUUAGACCUUAUUAUUCCUUCUUAAAAUAAUAUCAUAUCAUCCACUAACUAAAGUAACAUUUAGAUCUUACAAAUAGUAGUAAUUUAUAUAUAUGUUUAUGUAGCUUGGUGGAGCUGGUGGUGGUGGUGGAGGUUGUUGUUGUUGUUGUUGUCUCUCCAACCGCGCUUGCCUUAUUUCUUGGCGGACUUGACGUAUUUCCUCGCGUUCUUGUCUUAUCUGAUUUUGCAUCUCGGUCACCAGGUCUGUUAAUUGUUGUAUUACCAGUCUUUGGGCAGCAACCACUUGAUCGAUUUCAAUAGGUGGAGGGUUUGGAGGAUUCAUUUCUGUUUGCUGUUGUGUGGUAAUCUUUCCUUUCCUGGUAUUGACCAUGAAAGUUAGAAGCAUAUGGUAAUAGUUUUGCAAAGAAAUUUAUUCAAUAAGCGGAAUGAAUAAGCUAGUAGCUGGUUAUAAUCUGAAGAUUCUUUAGUAGGGCUUAAUCUUUGUUUUAUGUCCAGAUUGGGGUAACCAGUCGUAUAAGGUGAAUAUCCAAGGGUAAGAUAGAAUCUGUCAAGAUGAGAGAUAUAUAUGGGUGAGAUAGACUACAAGAUGUAGGUUAAAAGUUUGUGUGUUGUUAGGUGGGAAUAGAAAGGUUAUACCAUUCAUCAUGGCUCUAUGGGUUGGGUUAGCUCAUGGUUGAGUUGAUCCAAUGUGCUAAGUUAAGUUAAUACAUGGCUAGUGGGGUCUAAUCUCUUCUACUAGUGUCAUUAAUCUGUUUAAGUGGACCACAUUAAGCUAGAUAACAUUAGACCACACUAGAUUAGGUCACAUUUAGUAAGAUAAGAUCUAGAUUAGAUUGGAUAUGACUAGAUUAGACUAGUUUAGGUUAGAUAGGUCCAACAGGGUAGAAUAUGUAUUAUUAAGAUAUGUUAAAAUCUUUUGAGAUUAGUUAGAUAUGUUAUGAUAAGAUAAAAUCUCUUCAAGAUAAGAUGAAUUUAUUAAGGUAAGAAGAACCUUUUAAGAUGAGGUGGAUCUAGUAAGAUAUGAGAGAAUCUUAUAAGAUACGAUGAAUCUAUUAAGAUAUGGGAGAGUCUUUUAAGAUUAGAGGGAUCUCUAUGAGAUAGAUACAUUUUAAUGGAGGAUAAUCUAAGUUGCUUAGUUUUCUUAUGAAUUCUAUUUAAGCCUAUACGUAUAUGCAGAUGUAAUUGUGGACAUUACUCCACAACUCAUCACACUCAAUCAAAGAUCCAAAUCAGACAAGUAUCAUAAGAACAAACACUCAAGCAUACAAAUACCUAUAAAAAUAGUUUUGUUUUUGUUCCUAAGAGUAGGUCUCCUAUUUCUAAAGUCACUUUAGGCACAGGAUUUCAAAGUGUGAAAUCCACAUUUGUCUUCAGAAGGAAAAAGGUAAGAAUAAUCAGAGUAAUGCGGAAAUGGAUGAGAAAAGAUUAAGAUAAGUUUAGAAAAGAAUCAGAGUAGCAGAUGUAAGUAAAUAUUGGUUGUCCAGUUCUAUCUAGGUUUCGUCCUACAGACAACAUUCCUCUGAUACCACUUCUGUCACACCCGGGUUUUAGGGGUCCAAAGCCCGGGCGCGAACAUAAUCACCAGGUGUGCUGGGACCAAGUCUCACACAUAUGAUGAAUCAUGGCACAUAAUCGAAUGUCACAUCUUUACUACAUAACAGGAGUUCUAUACAAAAAUAAAUAAAUAAUUACAUUAUAAGGAGACAACGGUCCAGCAACCCAAAGUUGACUGGGAGACGACGGCCUAGACCUCUCACGAACUCGUCACAGCAUCCUCCAUGCGCCUCAUCCUGCGGUACCUGUUCUUGACCUGUGGGGGGUGUGAGACAGCAAGAGUGAGCUCACAUACGUUCAUCGCUCAACAAGUUGUGGGGAAUAAUGUGCAUGAACUCGCCAAAGGUGGGAGCUCACGUGAAGUGUAAGGCUUACCAAAGAGGAUGGUUAGAGCUGAGCAUUGCUUUUAAAGUUGGUCAAAAUUUUAUUAGCAAUUACUAAGUAUAAGUAAAUACCAACCCAAUUAAAUAGUAGAACAAAAGUAACAACAUCACCUGCGAUGCAAUGCAUAUGACAAAUUGAGUUUAAGUUCCAUAAUUUAAUCAUCAGAGAGUCCUGAGCUGCUCAUGACCGUGAGCUCGGCUAGUAUACCAGUUUUACACUCUGCAGAGGUGGUACCCUUUACCCACAAGUCAUGUUACCCAUCUGCCAAGGGAUCGCGACUUCCCAUACACCUCUACCGAGGAGGCGAGGCAGGGUAACAUUACGAGGCCUUUACAAAGUUCCACUAGCUUCAGAAAACCCGCUACAGUUUAUAGGAAGCUCCAAUGCAGGAAUCCCUUGCAGGACCGCCAUCGCAGCAAAAUCCUCCCGAGGGCCUCCCUACACUGACCACUCCCCUACUGCCCUUGCCCCUUUCGGGUAAGGUAGUCCUCCACUAGCUUUCCUAAUUAAUCAGCCAAGGGCGUCCAUAAACCCUUGUGGUGGCACGUGUUUCUCAAGUUAAGCUCUAUGUUCCAAUUAACAUUUAAUGAUCUUGUCAUGAACAUAAAUAAAAUAACAACAUAAUUGGAACAUAGAUAUAAUGAAAUGUUAACCCAAAACCAUAUAAAGCAGUAGCAGAACUACCCAAGUGAUUCAGGGGUUAAACAAGGUAUUCAGGAUAAACAAACUAGGGUAACCUAUUAGGUCCCAUCAAAAUUAACCUAUGCAGAUCAUUAUGAUUAAUUAGAACAUGAGUGGGUAAAAGAAGUGAUCAAGGGCACAACUUGCCUGGGACUCGAGAUUCCAGGUACCAGGAUGAUCUUCAGAUGACUCGUAACCUCGCUCUAGUUGUAGCAAUACAAACAAACAGUGUGUAGGCAAAAUUAACAUUACACCAAACAUAUAUGCAAAAUACAUAUUAAUAAUCUACAUAUUGAAAUAAAAUUCUAGGAACAGGAAUCACAAUUUUUGGAGUUAUAGAUUUUAAGUUAUGAAUUUCUUAAGAUUUUAUGUAUUUUGUACAAGAUUAAAUAGAGUACAAAUUUUAAUGUGUAUUUCAUGUGAAAACAGUGGUACUAGAUGAUAAACCAUAAUAUUACAAAAUUAUAGGAACUGGAACGAGUCAAAAAGGAGUUAAAAUGUAUUUUCUAGGAAUUAAAGAAGUUUCUGGGAUUAAUUUUGCACUAUUAAUCAUUUUCUAAAUGAAUUUCCAUAGUUUAUUCCCUGUCUGGACUGCGCACCAAAAACUAGAAAGUGCAGGGGCUAAUCUAUAAAUCUUCAGCAGACCCAGACCUACCCCGCGGUGGACGGCGGGUUAGUUUCUGUUUUACUCAGGGUCUCUUUAACAAAAAUCCCUGGCCGAAGGGGUAUGUUUCGACCAGAGCCGCACGAUCCUACAUCUACGGCUAGGAUCCGAUCUUCGCUAUUAUAAACCAGUCCGGUUCAUAGCCAUCGGAUGCCAAAUCAACGGACCGGAUCGCCAAUCGACCCAGGCACACGACACCCGCCCGAUCACCAUCAGACGGCCACGAGGGACCCCGCGAAGCGGUACGCGAAGAUCAAUCGGGACCGCCCGAACUGCAUCCAACGGCGCACGAUCUUUCCCCAACGGAGCACACCCGCACGGCGGCGCCGCCCCGCACGCUCGGCGGAGCACGCCGGCGAGGCUGCCAAUCGGCCGUUCCCGAGCGCCAAACCCAAAUUGGACCGAGCUAAACGUAGAGGAGGACGAGGCGAGUCGAUUGGAUGGGUUUCUUACCGACGGAAUGAGGCACAGGAGCGUGGCCACGGCGAUGGGCGGAAGUACGACGGUGGCGGGAUCACGGUGAGGAAUUACCCGCGCUCCCCAAGGUCCGCCCUCCAAUUGAGGUCGCGGACGGCCACUCUAGACGAUGGCGACCCAGCCUAGGCCAACCCAGAGGACAGAGUCCCAGCUACGACGAGCUUCACUUGUGGCGGAACAAGAAGAACCCACGGCGGCGCGAUGGUGCUUGUGGAACAGCGGCAAGAGCACGAUAGGCAGGUACCUACGGCACGGUCGAGUCUUUAGUUCCCCACCCCCCGCGCUGGUGAACCUCGGACCCGGAAUCCGCGCGGUGGUUGGAACGGCGCCCGAGAAGCACGCGGAGCUCGCGGCGAGUUCGUUCGUUCGCGAGGGAGAAGAAAGCGCUGACGCGCGGGCCCGAGUUGGCAGCGACACACAAACGAGCGCGCGCGCGCGUGAAGAUGACCGGUGGGCCCAUGAUGUCGGCGCCAAAAUCAGCUGGGCCGGCGCGGUAUAAUUUCCUGGUGGGCCGAAUAGGGUGAUGUAGGCCCGGUUAGGUUCUUUUCCAUUUUCUGAUUUUCCUUUUCUCUACCUCUUAUUUAGAUUUGUAAAUUUUCAAAUUCAACCAUGAAUUGGGUUUCUAAAUUCAAAUUAAAUGCAUAAUUCAAGAUCUAGUAUGAUAUGCAAUAUAUUUUAUUUUUAUUUAUUUAUUAUUUAAGCCAUUGCCUUUUAAAUGUGUAAAUCCCACCUAUUUAAUAUAAGGAACAUAGUUUUAUAUUGUAUAAUCUCUAUAAAGAAAUUUCUCUUACACAUAUCCUUAUGGACACUUAUAUAAGUGAUAAUUUAUUUCAUAUAAGAACUAUUUUGUUAAUCCUUUUAUUAGAAAACUUUUAUUUUUAGAGAUGUGACUUUAAAAGUUAUGGGAACUAGAAAAAAAAUUCCAAUUCAAGAUCUUCGAAAAAAAAAAUUUACUAUAAUUUUUAGAAUGAGAUUUUGAGGUGUUACAAUUGCCGAGCUCAAACACAAGUGACGAGCAGCUCCGACUCCCCCAGACGGAUCCCACAUGGACAAAGGAACUCGACGACGCCUACAUCCAAACACCGGAAGAGAAGGAGGAAGCCCUCCAAUGAUCAGUAGUGGGUGCAUGCAAGAAUUGACAAACCUUAUUGAUUGAAAAACUCAAAUUAGGUCGUGUCAAAAUCAAAUAUUUACUCAGCGGAGUCGCAUUAGGCUUGCAAUUCAUCAUUGCAACUCUACCAAGCAAAUCUGAAGCAUACUUAGUCCGAGGCAAGUGAAUACUAUCGCAAGUUUUGUGUACCUCAAUUCCAAGGAAGUAAUGGAGUUGUCCUAGGUCCUUCAAUGCAAACUCUGAACUCAAAUAUUGAAGCACAACAUCAAUAGCAUCCUGUGAAGAGUUAGCAACUUUAAUGUCAUCAAUGGUAGACCAAGAGAAAUAUUGAUACACUUUCCUUGCUAUAAGAAUAAAAUAUGGGUCCAUGGCAAAAGGGUCUCAGAUAUUGCUCCCAGAUUAUUCAGCAUUAUUCCAAAAAGAAUUAUUAACAGAAGACUGUGCAGCAGGCCCUAUUGAACAGACGAUGGAUUGCAGACAUCAAAGGGGCUCUUACAGUUGGAGCCAUUGUAGAUUAUCUACACCUUUGGAAUAUCCUCGACUCCUCGUAGAUUUUGUGCUGCAGCCUAACACUGAGGAUAGACACAUUUUCAGCUUAUCAUUGAAUGGCAGAUACUCUGCAAAGUCAGCUUAUAUUGGUUUUUUCCUUGGGUCUACCACCUUUGGGCACUAUAAAAGGGUUUGGUGAUCUUGGGCUCCACCAAAGUGCUGUUUUUUCAUUUGGUUGGUGGCACAUAAUAGAUGUUGGACAACUGAUCGCUUGGCAAAAAGGGGAUUGAAUCACCCUAUCAGAUGUCCUUUAUGUGACCAGCAAGGUGAAACCCUGAACCACUUGCUCGUGAAUUGUGUCUUCUCAAGAGUUUUCUGGUACAACCUGCUAAGAAAGUUUGGGCUGCAUAGUUUAGCCCCACAGCCAGAUGCAGUUUCCUUUAUGGAUUGGUGGGAGAUGGUAUCAGAGACAGCAAAUGGUCUGGUCAGGGAAGGUCUUGACUCCCUCAUCAUUUUAGGAUCGUGGCUGAUUUGGAAGCAUCGUAAUAGAGUCAUUUUUGAUGGAGGGUCUCCCAGCCUUCCUCUGAUUAUGGAGCAUGCAUAUGAGGAAAGAAGAGGCUGGGAAAUUGCUGGAGCCAAAGGGCUCUCCUUCUUGGCUGCCCCCCUGCAUAGGUUGCUGUAGGGAGUGUGUGUGUGUUUUUAUGGAUCCUUUCAUGUACGAGUGUUACUGGCCUCCAUAGGGAGUGCGUUGUUUUUUUGGGUCUCUUUA